AGAAUCAACGCUGGCGGCGUGCCUAACACAUGCAAGUCGAACGAGAAAGUGGUAGCAAUACCAUGAGUAAAGUGGCGCACGGGUGAGUAACACGUGACUAACCUACCCUGGAGUGGGGGAUAACUGAGGGAAACCUUAGCUAAUACCGCAUAACACCUACGGGUCAAAGGAGCAAUUCGCUUCAGGAGGGGUCGCGGCAGAUUAGCUAGUUGGCGGGGUAAUGGCCCACCAAGGCAGUGAUCUGUAUCCGGCCUGAGAGGGCGCACGGACACACUGGAACUGAAACACGGUCCAGACUCCUACGGGAGGCAGCAGUGGGGAAUUUUGCGCAAUGGGGGAAACCCUGACGCAGCAACGCCGCGUGGAGGAUGAAGUCCCUCGGGACGUAAACUCCUUUCGAUCGGGACGAUAAUGACGGUACCGAGAGAAGAAGCCCCGGCUAACUUCGCGCCAGCAGUCGC
rnacentral:rRNA from 1 species